UACGGAGGGUGCAAGCGUUAUCCGGAUUUACUGGGUUUAAAGGGUGUGUAGGCGGGUCUUUAAGUCAGUGGUGAAAUCUCCGAGCUCAACUUGGAAACUGCCAUUGAUACUAUUGAUCUUGAAUUCUGUUGAGGUGGGCGGAAUAAGUCAUGUAGCGGUGAAAUGCAUAGAUAUGACUUAGAACACCAAUUGCGAAGGCAGCUCGCUAAACAGAGAUUACGCUGAGGCACGAAAGCGUGGGGAUCAAACAGG
rnacentral:rRNA from 1 species